GUGGUUUAAUUCGAAGCAACGCGAAGACCCUUACCUAAGCUUGACAUNCCAAUGNCAUAUCCUUAAUCGGAGAGUUCACNNCAGGGAAAUUGGGGACAGGUGGUGNCUANUUGUCNUCAGCUCGUGUCGUGAGAUGUUGGGUUAAGUCCCGCAACGAGCGCAACCCUUGUCUUUAGUUGCCAUCAUUAAGUUGGGCACUCUAGAGAGACUGCCAGGGAUAACCUGGAGGAAGGUGGUGAUGACGUCAAAUCAUCAUGCCCCUUAUGCUUAGGGCUACACACGUGCUACAAUGGGUAGUACAGAGGGUUGCCAAGCCGUAAGGUGGAGCUAAUCCCUUAAAGCUACUCUCAGUUCGGAUUGUAGGCUGAAACUCGCCUACAUGAAGCUGGAGUUACUAGUAAUCGCAGAUCAGAAUGCUGCGGUGAAUGCGUUCCCGGGUCUUGUACACACCGCCCGUCACACCACGGGAGUUGGAGACGCCCGAAGCCGAUUAUCUAACCUUUUGGAAGAAGUCGUCGAAGGUGGAAUCAAUAACUGGGGUGAAGUCGUAACAAGGUAGCCGUAUCGGAAGGUGCGGCUGGAUCACCUCCUUUCUAAGGAGA
rnacentral:rRNA from 1 species